CCGUUCCCUCCGGGUCCUCCGCGCACCGCGGCUCCCGGCAGCGCGAGGGCGGCCGGCCAGAGCGGUUUCAAACUUAGAAAACUGCGCUCUGAUCGCGGGAACGUACAGACUCGUGCCGCCUCGAGUCCGAUUCUCGGAGCAGGUGUCAGGCGCCCGGCUACUGCUGUGCUGUGGGCACGGCCCGUGACGGUUCUGACGAGCAGCUGGGUAGAGCUCCGGGGGCUGCAGCCACCGAGCUCAGUAACUUCCUUUAAAAGCAACAUAAACAGCACAAAAUUAGACUGUUUUGUGGAAGCAGAAAUGCUUGGUAGUGGUAGGACUCUGUGCGCUUGCCUAGCAUGCCAUUGCAAGGACAAUCAGCAUGGAAAACCAGGACUUUGAGCUCUGCAUCUCUGCUUGAUCUUGACUUGCUGGUUGAUACCAGGAGCUGCUUCCCAGAUCCUCUUGAUUCGGUUCGAGAAGUUAGAAUUACCUGUAAUCAUUGGUAAACCAAAAGUCCCGAAUGGAGAACAAUGACAGGCGCCCACCGAGAAGAGCUACUGAUGACUGAGUUUAAGACAAGCUAGUGCUGAGAGAAUACCUUCAUCAUUUCAAAAACAUCCAGCUCCCACCUGUGCUUUGGGAUGUGAAAGAAUGACGUUGGCAGGUAGAGGCCUCAAGUUCCUCUCGGAUGCAUCUGGACCAUUUUAUUAGGGAGUCCACUGAGCCUGUGAUCAGCCUGAGUGCAGCUGAUGGUGAGCAGCGCCAAGGUGUGGUACUGAGCUGCUGAUCAAAUUGGUGUAUUUCAGAAGACCUGAAAAAAUUAGAUGAUUGAAACAUCACUCGUAAGCCACAGCUUCACCAUGAGGACUUUAGGAAAAGCAUGGCUGCACAGAGUACCUUCACCAGCAAUCUUCCAGGCUCCGACAAAACUAUUGUUCUUGAAGACCAGAAAGAUUGUUAUUGAGCUUUCCACAAAGCUGAAAUAAUGCUGUGUGUUAAAAAAAUGUUAACAAUUUGAAGAAGUUAUAAAAAUUUAUAAGUUGACUGAAUACUUUGGAAAUUUCUGCAUAUUUUAAUAUAAAUAGAAAAUCAAAGAAAUCGUGGAAGAUGGAGGAGUUAUUUCAGAUGCAUUUGGUGCAGUGAUGAGCUCAAACUUUAUUCGAAACUAUUAUGGUAAAAUAGAACAAGAAGAUACAAAAGAGAGAAAGAAGGAAUAGAAAGUGGUGGAAGGGAAGGGCCUCUGGACUGGUUCUCCUGCUCUGCAGCACAGUUACUUGCCUUUCUCGUUGAGGCUCUUGGUCAUCCCAUCUACCACGGUCAAGAAGACUGCCACAUACAGAUAUGGUGAUCAGUAUGUCUGGUCCAGUUUGAAUGCCCUGUCCUGGAGUGGGAAGCAAGUUCUGCACUGUAUGUGGAUGAAGUUAAUCAGUUUGCAGUAACAAAGUGUUGGAAGGGACUUCAAGAGCUUAUCUAUACAGAGCUGGCCAGCCUGUGCCUUGGAGAUUGAGGAGUGAAUGACUAAUGUCAUUGUGACUGCUGCCAUCUAAUUUCUGCAAAAGAAUUCUCUGGCAGUUCUCAUGAUUGGCAUCAUUUCCCAUCAUGUGCAAGCUGUUGGACAGAGAAGACCUGCUUCUGAACUGUCGUGGUAUGGAGAAGAUAUAGAAGUACUGGGUUCCUAGAGCAGUUCAAUGCCUGCUGGGGAGAGGUGACAUUCAAGUGAUGAAGAAAUAGGAGUCUGCACCAUUCGUCAGCCUAGCGAGAAGGCGGCUCUAUGCUCACUUUGAAAGAGGGCAGUGCAAAAGUUACCUAGCGAUGUGAGUACUCUGGGCACGGCGGAGGAGCUUCCCACUGAAUGCGGCACAGCGGCACAGCUGCUGAGGAGAGCAUGGCAACAGCAAGAAAUGGAAUUCACUGAAGAAAGCGCUUGACAAGCCAUAAAUUCCAGCAAGAAGAUUAUCAACUACUUUUUCUCCUCGCAUCCCGGUUUACAGAAUGGUUUGUUGUACACAUGCCUUUGUGAAGUCAGCAGGAGCUCAAAAAUCGGUUGGUUUGUUGGUUGUACCUGGAACUAUUCAGCUCUUUGGAGAUGGUGCUGUGGGCUCCCUUUUUGCGGGGCUCCGACCUGCUGAAAUUGAAGAGGGUUAAGUCUUUGCUCACAUUUAGGUCUGGACCAGACUCCAGUCUACCUUCCUGUUAGAUACCAGCACUGCUGCCCUCUCCACAGCUCUGCCUGACACUGCCUCUCUUGGUAACCUCACCAGUAGUCACCAAACUUGCAUGUGCUCUCUGCUCCCCUGGUUUACCCAACCCUGCUUGCUUCCCUUCCUUGCCACCUCUCAUCACAAAUAACAUUGAUGCACAGCAGUGAAUAAACACUUCUUUAUAGAGAAAAAUAAAACUGUCUCUGAUGUGCCAUCCGUUGCCUGAUGGGUUUGCUGAUCUGUUGCCAAUUCUUUUCAUUUCUUAG
ensembl:lncRNA